CAAGCAGUCUGGAUGAUCGCGCGCACCAGUUUAAAAAUGGUGCGUGAGGAAAGUCCGGGCUCCACAGGGCAGGGUGCUGGGUAACACCCAGUGGGGGCGACCCCAAGGAAAGUGCCACAGAAAUGGAGACCGCCUGACACUUUCAAGUGUCGGGUAAGGGUGCAACGGUGCGGUAAGAGCGCACCAGCGGUCAGGUGACUGGCCGGCUAGGUAAACCCCACCCGGAGCAAGACCGAAUAGGGAGGCAAUGGAGUGGCCCGCUCCGCCUCCGGGUAGGUUGCUUGAGGCCACAGGCAACUGUGGUCCUAGAGAGAUGAUCAUCACCUCCGUGAUGAGCGGAGGGACAGAACCCGGCUUACAGGACUGCUUGCUUU
rnacentral:RNase_P_RNA from 3 species